rnacentral:rRNA from 1 species
CCUACGGGAGGCAGCAGUGGGGAAUAUUGGGCAAUGGGCGCAAGCCUGACGCAGCAACGCCGCGUGAAGGAAGAAGGCUUUCGGGUUGUAAACUUCUUUUGACAGGGAAGAGCAGAAGACGGUACCUGUCGAAUAAGCCACGGCUAACUACGUGCCAGCAGCCGCGGUAAUACGUAGGUGGCAAGCGUUGUCCGGAUGUACGGGGUGUAAAGGGCGUGUAGCCGGGCUGACAAGUCAGAUGUGAAAUCCGGGGGCUCAACCCCCGAACUGCAUUUGAAACUGUUAGUCUUGAGUAUCGGAGAGGCAGGCGGAAUUCCUGGUGUAGCGGUGAAAUCCGUAGAGAUUAGGAGGAAUACUCGUGGCGAAGGCGACCUGCUGGACGACAACUGACGGUGAGGCGCGAAAGCGUGGGGAGCAAACAGGAUUAGAUACCCUUGUAGUC